GCUUACGGCCAUACCAGCCUGGGUACGCCCGAUCUCGUCUGAUCUCGGAAGCGAAGCAGGGUCGGGCCUGUUUAGUACUUGGAUGGGAGACCGCCUGGGAAUACCAGGUGCUGUAAGGA
rnacentral:rRNA from 1 species